UUUCCGUAGGUGAACCUGCGGAAGGAUCAUCAAAGUUAUAGUCCCCCGGCCCUCUGGGCUGGGGUCUUCUAUACCACCCUUUGUUUAUUACACCUUUGUUGCUUUGGCAGGCCUGCCCUCGGGCUGCUGGCUCCGGCCGGCUCGCGUCUGCCAGAGGACCUAAACUCUGUUUGUAUAUGAAGUCUGAGUACUAUAUAAUAGUUAAACUUUCAACAACGGAUCUCUUGGUUCUG
rnacentral:misc_RNA from 1 species